AUGCCAGGGCUUCUGCUUCUUUCUGUACAUACCUGUAUAUAUAGGGACAAGCCCAUAGGCAGAACUCAACACCAUCGCAGAGCAGCUUCUCUCAUCUUCUAUCUCCAGAGAGCAAACGAAAAAACUUCAGCUUCCAACACAAUCAUGGCACCCCACCUCAGGUCCACGAGUGUGCCUUCCAGCCCUCGAUCCGGCGAAACCGAUGUCGAUCAACAGCUGCAUAGCCUAAACACAGCCACCAUCUCUCCCUUAUCAACAAUUGGGACAGUGUGUGUUGGGCUAAGGAGGCUUGGAGACAUCUAUGACUGCAUCGAUGAGCUCACAUGCUUGCCUAGCAGCCAAAUUCUCCUCUGCAAAACGCAGCAAAGGAUUUCUGUGGAGCAAGAGCUCGAGCGCUCCCUUAUCUUGCUUGACCUCUGCAAUGUCGUGCAAGUCAGCUUUUCCGAGCUCAAGGCAAGCGUCCAAGACAUGCAGUUGGUUAUCAAGAGAGGAGAAGAUGCAGCUCUUCAGGUCAAGAUUCAGUCUUGGUUUCACCAGAUUAAGAAAGUGCAAAAAACGCUCAAGAAGAACACCAAGAAGUCUUCUUCGGCUGAUCUGGAGAGCUGCAGAGUGGUCAGGUUGUUGACUGAAGCUAGAGAAGCCGCUGUCACAAUGAUUGGAUCCUCAAUGGAACUCCUGUCGAAGCAAAUUGCACCACCGAAUUCUAACAAGUGGGCUCUUGUGUCAAAGGCAUUCCAGAAGAAAAGAGUUAAUUGCGAAGAGGAGCAACUGCAGGUGCUGGAGUUGGACAUCGUUGAUCUUGAGAGUGGAGUUGAGACUUUGUUCAGGAGAUUGAUUCAGAGCAGAGUCUCUCUUCUAAAUAUUCUCAGUUUGUAG
rnacentral:rRNA from 1 species